rnacentral:tRNA from 1 species
GGAGAGGUCGCAUAGUUGGUCUAGUGCGCACGCCUGGAAAGUGUGUAUACCGAAAGGUAUCGAGGGUUCGAAUCCCUCCCUCUCCG